rnacentral:lncRNA from 1 species
CAUCACAUUGCCAAAAGAAUCUCGAACGAUAAAAAUUCAAUCUUUUAGCUACCCCUUUUGGAAUUUCAAAGAAGAACAUCAUAAACAUGAGCAAACUAGUUAAUACCGAAUUAAUAAGCGUAAGACGGCCACCACUAAACAAAAGCUUCCCCUUCCAACAGCUAAGUUUCUUCUCAAAACGGUCCUCGAUCUCUUUCCAUUCUUUAUUCAGCAACUUACGAUAGGGAAUCGAAAUCCCUAGAUAACGAAAAGGGAACAAUCCCACCCCACACUCAAACAAUUGAGUAUAUUGGGCCUCACACUCCUUCGCUUGCCCAAAGCUGCUCAAAAACAUGUAAAUAAGGAAGAAUCUGAUCACCUUGUGAGUUCCUGGAAAUCAUCAAUGCGUGCAUAUAUCUUGACACAGUAAGCAGAUUUCUUUUCCUGACUACAGGGGAGCAACUAUAACGACAAUGAUGGUCAAAUUGCUUUCGCUUUAAGGCUAUGUUCUGUAACGACCUUGGUUGGCAUUUUCUCUAAUGGAAAUGGAUGGGGCAAGCCCAUUAUUUAAAAAAAAACAUGAUUGUCAAAUCCUGCGACGAAAUGGGAUUGAUUUUUUUCUCAAACAUGUCAUUUCCAUUAAGAAGAAGGGCCUCAACUCCGCGGAUACCGUGGAUCUCAAACGAAGAACGAGGUGAGGAGGCGACGAGCAGUAAUAGAUAAGGGUCCUGAUUUGUCCCAAGAGCCAGCAUGGGUAAGUUGUUCUAAAACGAAGAAUCUGGGCCACAUGACCGUUGGACCGGGGAAAUACAUGUCAAUUACGUCUGGGCUCUCAGGAAUACAGUACCCUGUUUGGGAACGAACCACCAGUCACAUUUGAGAGAGAGGAGCCUAGCUUGAGGUUGUGAACAAACCUCACAAUCCUGCUGCCGAAACUAGUGUGCUGACCAUCAUAACUUCAUUGGCUACUUCCCGCAGAAAAAAAAAAACUUCAUUGGCUACAACUUACUACUACACAAACUGCACUUUAAUCUACAAACGUCCCACCACAACCACAAAAAUGAGCCCCGGUAAAAAAUUUGCAGAUGCAAUAAAUUGUAAUGAACAACGUGGAUAUAUAUGUGACUGAUUGGCUAUAAGGCUCGCUCACUCGCUCUGAAGAAUGCUGAGUAGUGCAACAAGUAGGUCCAUUGCUUGGAAUGCACAAGCUCUACUCUUUACAUGGCCUCCUGGCAAGUAGCUAGCUAGACGUGGGAGGCA